UGUUGUCAAAAAGAUACUUGCAAAAAGUCACUCAUUAUAUCCAUAGUAUAAUUUUUUUUUCGUGUCACACAAAGUGAAAUAACACAGAGAUCCCUCAGUGCUCUUGUAAAAACCAGUGGAAAUAUUUUCUGCUGUGACAGUCGUUACAUACAAUUACGAGAUUAUUAAAAUUCCUCCCAGAAAUGAGCGGAAAGUACUGCGACGACCUAAUUUGGAAUGCGCCAUCCUUCAGGGCUUGACAUCAGAAAAUAUCUUUUAUAUUUCAUUAGGGAGUUCGGCGCUACAAGCAAAAAAAGUCUUAUUUUCGUGAAUUCCGCAUACAGAACGAAACAGCGAAAUGGACUGCAGCAUCAAUAAUAUUAUUUCAACUCUGGAGUUGUUAAUUUUUUCUCAUUGUAUUAUUGUCAGUCGAGUCAGAACGAAAUUGCAAUAAAGAAAUAGUUCAUUAUACUGGUGAACCUACUGAGCGUGUUCAACGUGUUGGGGGAGACCCUGGCAAGGUUGCAGCAGGACGAGGAAGCGGAGAGAUGGUACAUGGCCGCCCUGCAUGCUCAACCUGACCAUGUUCCAGCUCACAUCACAUACGGGAAGCUGCUCGCAAAAAAUGUAAGCAC